GAUGAACGCUGGCGGCAUGCCUAAGACAUGCAAGUCGAACGAGGUGGCCUUUUAAAGACUGCGUACUUGUACAAAGUUGGAUAGAGAUUCUCCACCUAGUGGCAGACGGGUGAGUAACACGUAAGUAAUCUACCGUAAAGACUGGGAUAACGUUUGGAAACGGACGCUAAUACCGGAUAACUCAUAUUUAGAUAACUAGAUAUGCUAAAAGGAGCUUCGGCUUCGCUUUACGAUGAGCUUGCGGCGUAUUAACUAGUUGGUGAGGUAAUGGCUCACCAAGGUGACGAUGCGUAGCCGAACUGAGAGGUUGAUCGGCCACAUUGGGACUGAGACACGGCCCAAAACUCCUACGGGAGGCAGCAGUUAGGAAUAUUCGUCAAUGGAGGAAACUCUGAACGAGCAAUGCCGCGUGAGUGAUGACGGUCUUUAUGAUUGUAAAACUCUGUUGUUAGGGAAGAAACCUUAUCAUAGGUAAUGAUGAUAAGCUGACGGUACCUUU
rnacentral:rRNA from 1 species